rnacentral:lncRNA from 1 species
UACACAAUUGCAAAAUCAGCCCACAGGACAAGGAGAUUAAGGGGACCGCAAGCACAAUUCUGCACAGUAUAAACACAGUCUGUGGAACUCACUGCCACAAAAAGCAAAGGCUGUCAGCUUAAGGCAGGCUUCUCCAAAGUGGUGAAUCAGAAAUUUGGUGUAAGGUUGGAUGAGCGAAAGAGUUUGGGGAAUUCCGGCUUAGGAAGUGGAUUUGAAAAAAGAUUUGGAGUCAAACUGUCAUUAAGCAGCGAUUAGCUGUUCUUCAUCUGAAGAAUACUUGUCACUGCUAGACUGCUGCUGAAUAUGUUUUUAUUUUAGCAAAAGCAAUUAAACUUAUAUACUACCCUAUAGUGGUUUACAGCCUCCUCUAAGCAGUUUACAGAGUCAGCAUCCUUCCCCCAACAAUCUGGGUCCUUAUUUUACUGGCCUCGAAAGAAUGGAAGGAUGGGUCAACCCAGAGCACCAUCAGGAUCAAACUCCAGGUUGUGGGCAGUUAGCCUGCAUUACUGCAUCCUGACCACUGCCCCAUCAGGGCUCCUUAAUAUGUGUCUGUCUGAUUUAUAACUCACUGAGAGUUGGUUUAACUGUGGCAGGAUGUAAAUGCAACGAAUAAAUACCUAAAAUGCAACUAGAACUUACUUAUACAUUCACCAGCAGUCUACCAAUAAAUAUUUGGAAAAGGGAACAAGAGUUGGUCCCCCCGCCCUUUAUCCUUCAUUCAUGGAAGGAUCUGGCAGGCUGCUACUGAAUUAAGGGGCAAGGGAGAAUCAAAUUUCCCUUUAUUUACUCCAAAUACUGAGACAAAGACUGAGAUGCCUGCUUUUUUCUCUCUUUCCAAGGUUUGAAAUCAAUUUUACGGCUGGCCAAGAUAUCCCUUUGCAUAUUAACCUUCACAUGAAACUGGAGAGCCGUAGUACGCAAUAGUUUUUUGAAUGGCAACUGGGGAAGCGAGGAAAUUGACCUUUAACCCUUUCCAGCCUGGGCAGUACUUUAAACUCUCAAUCCACUGUGACAACCGUGAGUUCAAGUUUUAUGCCAACGACCAGCCCUUCUUCAACUACACCCUUCGUUAUGUCCCUAUCAAAAACAUCAGCACCCUAGAGAUCGAUGGAGACGUGACGCUUUCCUACAUUAAAUACUAAGCAAUGGGGGGGGGGGAUCAGUAGCAGCUCUCUCUCUGCCAGUACACUUACAAUCGUGCUGAAUUUGAGUGGUCUAUAAGUUCCAAUCAAUCAAUCAAUCACUCAAGAAUUGAGAAUAUUAAGCAACAUUUUCAAUAAAGCAUCUUGAUCAAGGAAU